AAUGAUUAGUGGCGAACGGGUGAGUAAUGUAUCGGAACGUAUCCAAUAAUGGGGGAUAACUAAUCGAAAGGUUGGCUAAUACCGCAUACGCCCUACGGGGGAAAGCAGGGGAUCUUCGGACCUUGCGUUAAUGGAGCGGCCGAUAUCUGAUUAGCUAGUUGGUGAGGUAAAAGCUCACCAAGGCGACGAUCAGUAGCUGGUCUGAGAGGACGACCAGCCACACUGGAACUGAGACACGGUCCAGACUCCUACGGGAGGCAGCAGUGGGGAAUUUUGGACAAUGGGCGAAAGCCUGAUCCAGCCAUUCCGCGUGAGUGAAGAAGGCCUUCGGGUUGUAAAGCUCUUUCGCAAGGGAAGAAACGAUGCAGUCGAAUAAACUGUGUUAAUGACGGUACCUUGAUAAGAAGCACCGGCUAACUACGUGCCAGCAGCCGCGGUAAUACGUAGGGUGCAAGCGUUAAUCGGAAUUACUGGGCGUAAAGCGUGCGCAGGCGGUUUUGUAAGUCAGAUGUGAAAUCCCCGAGCUCAACUUGGGGACUGCGUUUGAAACUACAAGACUAGAAUAUGUCAGAGGGGGGUAGAAUUCCACGUGUAGCAGUGAAAUGCGUAGAGAUGUGGAGGAAUACCAAUGGCGAAGGCAGCCCCCUGGGAUAAUAUUGACGCUCAUGCACGAAAGCGUGGGGAGCAAACAGGAUUAGAUACCCUGGUAGUCCACGCC
rnacentral:rRNA from 1 species